GGUGCCACUGGACUCAUCUCCUACAACAAGCCCCCGAAACGGGGGUCCGAAAUCACACCUGUAAGCUCUCACCAAACACCCAGCUUCUCAAAACCCUCAGCCAUGGCUUUUCUUGAUAUGUGCAUGAUAGAAAACCUUACCUGAACAAAACCCUAAAUUUGUCUGUAGUAGAGCAUGUUAGCAAACCCUGUCUGAGCAAAACCCUAAUCUUGUCUGUAGCACAUAAAAUCUUUUGUCUCACACCUGCACACAUUUUGUCACUUAACUAUUUGUGGUAUCUCUGAAAAUAGUAAGUUGACUACUUGUGCACACUAUUUUUGUCAUCCUGUCACUAUCUAUACUAUUUGUGGGCACUACCACCAAAACAGCAACCAUAUACCCUGUGUGAGUUCUUGAAACCAUGACAAAAAGGACACGCUCCCACCUGGGUCUUCCCCAGAACCCGGAUAACCCUCAGACAGACCAGGACAACCCGAACCAGGAUCAUGCCUCAGGACCUCUUUUCACACAUGUGAACCCGGAAGAGAACCAAACAAUCAACCCCAAUGAUGCACGAGUCACGAUCGAAGCAAACCAGUACAAGUACACCGAUGUCCCGGUCACCACCCUCCACCUGUCCCAGCUCACCAAUGUAGAGUUGGCCGAAGCCAUCCGGCAGUACCAUGAUCGCCGGGAAAACAACCGCAGACUUGAGGACAUCGGCGAACACGGCGGAGGAAGGACCGGGAUCGGAGAUUGGCGUUAUCAUUUGGCGCUAGAAGGAGGGGAAGGUGUCCUCUGUCCUGUCGUCACGGUGCCACUGGACUCAUCUCCUACAACAAGCCCCCGAAACGGGGGUCCGAAAUCACACCUGUAAGCUCUCACCAAACACCCAGCUUCUCAAAACCCUCAGCCAUGGCUUUUCUUGAUAUGUGCAUGAUAGAAAACCUUACCUGAACAAAACCCUAAAUUUGUCUGUAGUAGAGCAUGUUAGCAAACCCUGUCUGAGCAAAACCCUAAUCUUGUCUGUAGCACAUAAAAUCUUUUGUCUCACACCUGCACACAUUUUGUCACUUAACUAUUUGUGAUACUUCUGAAAAUAGUAAGUUGACUACCUGUACACACUACUUCUGUCAUCCUGUCACUAUCUAUACU
rnacentral:lncRNA from 1 species